UUCUCUCGUAACGACAGGAGUCAUGAUUUCUUGGUGUGAAUAACACAACACAUACAAUCGUACUCACAUACAUAUUUGAAAAUUUGAACGCUUUUUGACAUUGCAGAAAUGAGUG